UACAGAGGUCUCAAGCGUUGUUCGGAUUCAUUGGGUUUAAAGGGUGCGUAGGCGGCUUUGUAAGUCAGUGGUGAAAUAUGGCAGCUCAACUGUCAAGGUGCCAUUGAUACUGCGGAGCUUGAGUACAGAUGAGGUAGGCGGAAUUGACGGUGUAGCGGUGAAAUGCUUAGAUAUCGUCAAGAACACCGAUAGCGAAGGCAGCUUACUGGGCUGUAACUGACGCUGAGGCACGAAAGCGUGGGGAGCAAACAGG
rnacentral:rRNA from 1 species